rnacentral:lncRNA from 1 species
AUGAUCGUGUCCCUGUGGCUGGCGUACAUCGCGGCACGGAAAGGCACCGGCGGGCACAUCCCCACCAACAGUGCACCGGAUGGCCCCGUGGAGGAUGUGGAUGCAUUGGCCACGGGUGAAGAGCUGCUCUCCAGGUUGUUCCAGAGGGUGCUGGAAAUCUGGGCAGAGCCUGAGGCAGAGCCACAAGGAGAGCCCCAAGGAGAGCCCCGGGCAGAACCACGGGCAGAGCCCUGGGCAGAGCCCCAGGCAGAGCCCUGGGCAGAGCCCCAAGCAGAGCCUGCAGCAGCUCCUCCAGCCUCCCAGCAAGCCGGUGGUCCAAGCCCCCAGGGUGAUGCUGACCGUGGGGUGCAGCCACACGGGCAGGUCCUUGUGGAGGACAGGAUGAAGGUCCAGUACUUGAGGUGGAGCCAGACCCGUGUCCAUCGCGUCUCGAGCCUGCUGGAGGAUGAUCUGGUGGAGGACAGGAAGGAGCAAGCUAAAAACGGCGUGUCCCAGGUGCUGCUCCAAGGCAUGCCGGGCACCGUGAUGGACGCCGUGAUGGAGGCCGUGACAGAGGCUGUGAAGGACACCAGGAUAGACUCCAUGGCAGACACUGUGAUGGACGCCAUGGACACCGUGAUGGACACCAUGAAGGACACCAUGAAGGACACCGGGACGUACACUGGGCUGGACACCGAGACGGACACCGGGAUGGACACGGGGAUGGACACCGGGACAGACAGCGGGAUGGACUCCAUGAUGGACUCCGUGAUGGAUCCCAUGAUGGACCCCAUGGUGGAUCCCAUGGUGGAUCCCAUGGUGGAUCCCACGCUCGACUCCACGCUGGAUUCCAUACUGGACACCAAGAGCCACACCCCGCUUCCCGAUGAGGACUAGGAGGUUGAUGCUCUCCCCGCUCCCCUUCCCUGUCUGCGUUUGGACCUUUUUGUCACCUCCGUGGCUCUGGCUUGCCCAAAAAUAAAAGGCUGUGUGCACCAGCUGGGCUGCGUCUG